rnacentral:lncRNA from 1 species
AUGGCAUGUAAAAAAAUUCAAACUUAUACAAAUCAAUGUUGUCAUGCAAGACAACCAAUGUUCUUGAAUACCAUUUUUGACUUUUAUUUUUAAAACUAGUCUAUUUAAUUAUUUUUGAUCAAUUUAUAUAAUUUCAACAGCCUCCCUUAAAUUGACCAAAAUAAUUUACGUAUACAAAGCAUCGAUUUCAAUCUCUCGAACGUUUCUGCCUUCAGCGGUUUAGUCAGAAUAUCCGCUAUCUAAUCUUCUGAUUCACAUAACUUAAGUUCGAUUUCUCCAUUCUUGACAAGAUCUCAUAUAUAGUGAUACUUAAUCCCGAUAUGCUUUCUCCUGCCAUGACAUACUGGAUUCUUGGCUAAUGCAAUCGCUGACGUAUUAUCACACAUAAUCUUUGCCGGACCAUCUUGCUCGUGGUUCAGCUCACCGAGCAUUCUUCGAAGCCAAACUACUUGACAUGCUGCAGAGGUUGCUGCCAUAUACUCUGCUUCAGCUGUAGAUAAAGCAACUACUUGUUGCUUCUUUGAAGACCACGAAAACACGCCUCCCUCGUGGUUCAGCUCACCGAGCAUUCUUCGAAGCCAAACUACUUGACAUGCUGCAGAGGUUGCUGCUAUAUACUCUGCUUGAGCUGUAGAUAAAGCAACUACUUGUUGCUUCUUUGAAGACCACGAAAACACGCCUCUCUCGAUAAAGAAUACAUAACUGGAGGUGCUUUUCCUAGUUUCAGUAUCAAUACGCGUAUACCAAGCUCAUGGAGCCUGUUUCAAACCGUAUAACGCCUUGUUC